rnacentral:rRNA from 1 species
GGGGAAUAUUGCACAAUGGGGGAAACCCUGAUGCAGCCAUGCCGCGUGUGUGAAGAAGUCCUUCGGGUUGUAAAGCACUUUCAGUCAGGAGGUAGGUGGUGUAGCUAAUAUCUGCACCACUUGACGUUACUGACAGAAGAACCACCGGCUAACUCCGUGCCAGCAGCCGCGGUAAUACGGAGGGUGCGAGCGUUAAUCGGAAUUACUGGGCGUAAAGCGUGCGCAGGCGGUUUGUUAAGCGAGAUGUGAAAGCCCCGGGCUCAACCUGGGAUGGUCAUUUCGAACUGGGAAGCUAGAGUCUCGUAGAGGUGGGUAGAAUUCCAGGUGUAGCGGUGAAAUGCGUAGAGAUCUGGAGGAACACCAGUGGCGAAGGCGGCCCCCUGGACGAAGACUGACGCUCAGGCACGAAAGCGUGGGGAGCAAACA